CAGAGGUUUAACUAACAUGAUCAAGAUCUCCUAACCAGUUAAGUGGUGAAGUUGGAAUUUUUACCCAAGUCUGUUUGCUAAAUGUAUGCUCUUCAUCAUUACAUCUACAUAGGACCAGCUACAUAACUUGUAGUGCCCAGUGCAAAAUGAAAAUGCACCCUAGGCUGUGAUCCUGGAACUGAACAUCUGAUGAGUCAAUACAGGGCACGGAGUAGUGCUCUUCUCCCUGAACCAUGAGACCUGCAUCUCAGGUUGCAGAAAACAUGUGGAGCAGAGGUACAGAGCCUUCACUUUGCUGCAGCAACAAAUAAAGACUUUGAAGUCCUCCAUUGGAUCUUCUCGGAAGAUGAGGGAAAUGAGAGAGUGUGGAGAGAGAUUUUGUAAGUCCGGUCUGGAAGUGGUCAUUGUUCAGAAUCCAGCCACGUGGGUACAUGGAACUGUAAGAAUAUGUUCUGUGGACACUACAGAUGCAGAUUAAAUCACCUGCAAAGUGAAUCUGUCAGCCCUAACAAUAAGAAUAGCUCUUUUAUGAUGAGCAGGUGAGACCAGGUAAUUACCGAAGAAAGAGAGUGAUGUGUUCAUUGAAGUCUACUCAUGGAGGAAAGAAGGU
ensembl:lncRNA CASC16 cancer susceptibility 16